rnacentral:rRNA from 1 species
UUGGAGGGCAAGUCUGGUGCCAGCAGCCGCGGUAAUUCCAGCUCCAAUAGCGUAUAUUAAAGUUGUUGCAGUUAAAAAGCUCGUAGUUGAAUUUCGGGAUCAAUGUUUCGGUCAUGCCGUUGGUAUGUACUGAUAUUAUUGAUUUCUCACCUUCUAAAGAACCGUAAUGCCAUUAAUUUGGUGUCACGGGGAAUUAGGACUGUUACCUUGAAAAAAUUAGAGUGUUUAAAGCAGGCUCACGCUUGAAUACAUUAGCAUGGAAUAAUGAAAUAGGACAUCCGAUUCUAUUUUGUUGGUUUCUAGGAUCGAUGUAAUGAUUAAUAGGGAUAGUUGGGGGCAUUAGUAUUCAAUUGUCAGAGGUGAAAUUCUUGGAUUUAUUGAAGACUAACUACUGCGAAAGCAUUUGCCAAGGAUGUUUUCAUUAACUAGAACGAAGUAAGGGUAGGUACGUAGAACGACGUAUACGAGUAACGUACCGGUACGGUUACGUUAACCUUAACCUAAACUUAAAACUUAGUCCGGACCGUAACGGGUAAGGUACGGUACGGUAGUAGUAGUUUAAGUUUUUUUAAAUUUUUAAGUACGUACUACUUACGG